AAAUUUUCUGGGUCCAAUCCAAUUAGCUUUUGGAAGUUGCCUCUUGUGUUACAUCUGACACUUGCAUAUCCAGACUUGCCAUAAUGAUUGCAAACACCCUUAAUAUUUUCAUAAAAGCUCUUUUUGUCUCUUUCUUGAUUUUCAUAUCUACCUUAAACUAGACUUGUCAAAUGCAUGUCUAAAUGAUGAAAACAAAGAGUUUAGAACUUUAGAGCUCUUAAAAAAAAUUUAAAAAC
rnacentral:lncRNA from 1 species